rnacentral:rRNA from 1 species
GAUGAACGCUGGCGGCGUGCCUAAUACAUGCAAGUCGAGCGAACAGACGAGGAGCUUGCUCCUUCGACGUUAGCGGCGGACGGGUGAGUAACACGUAGGUAACCUACCUAUAAGACUGGGAUAACUUCGGGAAACCGGAGCUAAUACCGGAUAAUAUUUCGAACCGCAUGGUUCGAUAGUGAAAGAUGGCUUUGCUAUCACUUAUAGAUGGACCUGCGCCGUAUUAGCUAGUUGGUAAGGUAACGGCUUACCAAGGCAACGAUACGUAGCCGACCUGAGAGGGUGAUCGGCCACACUGGAACUGAGACACGGUCCAGACUCCUACGGGAGGCAGCAGUAGGGAAUCUUCCGCAAAGGGCGAAAGCCUGACGGAGCAACGCCGCGGGAGUGAUGAAGGUCUUCGGAUCGUAAAACUCUGUUAUUAGGGAAGAACAAACGUGUAAGUAACUGUGCACGUCUUGACGGUACCUAAUCAGAAAGCCACGGCUAACUACGUG